UUGCAACGACCCUCGCCCCGAACCACUCCAGUUUUUGCCAUGCGCCGACGCAAGCAUAAAUGACCUAGCACCAAAUUCUGCUCCCCGACUUAUGGUAGAACGACAAAAUAAUUAAGCUCGCGCAACCGAUCAUGAGUCAUACGCCACCCGAAAACCCCUUUAUAGAAUAUCGCCAAAUAAUAGGCAAUUAAAGAAUUGAUUGAGCUUUCGAUUUCAUCGGGGCGAUGUUAUAGCGCAGGGGAAAUUAAGGGAGUGGCCUAAUUAUAUUCAUGGACAUGUCCAUUUAGGUAGAAACACGGCUUCCUCAUUAGGAGAUUCAUUUUUAAAACAAUGUAAAUUAAACCAAUAUCAACAUUCUAAUUUAGUAAAUCAAGUCUUUUGUAAAAGGGCUUAAACCCAUGACUUUCAGUUUAGAAUCGAACUCACGCAACUACGCGGACAGCCAGAAAAAAACCACAGAGGUCAGCAUAAAAAAGUUCAUGAGGUUCAUCGAUGCUCGGCAUCAAAACUGACCAUUUUUAGUAGAACAAAGUUUGGAAAAUUUACUAUAUAAGUAGAAAUAAUUCUCGAGGAAAGUUAGUUAGUUCCAGUAGCAGCUCAAGCCCAGACCAGCCAGGCCCACCAGCACCCACCAGCAGCCACCAGCAGCCAUCAGCAGCCAUCAGCCGAGAAGUCCACCCCGGGACUUAGCCGAGAAGCCAGCCGAGAAGUCCACCCCGGGACUUAGCCGAGAAGACAGCCGAGAAGUCCACCCCGGGACUUAGCCGAGAAGACAGCCGAGAAGUCCACCCCGGGACUUAGCCGAGAAGCCAGCCGAGAAGUCUACCCCGGGACUUAGCCGAGAAGCCAGCCGAGAAGUCCGCCCCGCGACUUAGCUGUUUGCUGUUUGAGAAAUCCACCCGGGACUACGCUGCUGGAGAAGUCGGCCGCGACUUAGCUGUUUGCUGUUUGAGAAAUCCACCCGGGACUUAGCUGCUGGAGAAGUCGGCCGCGACUUAGCUGUUUGCUGUUUGAGAAAUCCACCCGGGACUUAGCUGCUGGAGAAGUCGGCCGCGACUUAGCUGUUUGCUGUUUGAGAAGUCGGCCGCGACUUAGCUGUUUGCUGUUUGAGAAGUCGGCCGCGACUUAGCUGUUUGCUGUUUGAGAAGUCCACCCGGGACUUGGCCGUUGGAGCACAGCAGAGUCAACACAUUACUUGGAGUCUGGAUUCAACACUGGUCUGAGGCGGAGAAGCUGAAGAGAAAAAAAUCAUCGAAGGAAGUGGACAACUUAAUUGUCAAUAAAACGUGUAAAAAAGACGAGAGUGACCAGUGCCUAAGAUUAGUGAAGUAUCACAAUUCCGCAACCGCUCGGCUGGGCGGUGCAGUUGGUGACAAGCGGAAAAAGUCCGGACGAGGACUAGGAACGCCAGGACGAGACAACAAAUGAUUCGACAACUAAUUUUCGGAUUUCGAAGAGCAUUUCUUUCAAGCCCGCCGACAACCAACCUUUCGAAUGGAGGGGAAGACUCCGAACCACGUGGGGGUGAACAGCCGUAAGACGCGUAGAUCAUCAAAGGUUAAAAGUAUGAAAAAAAAAAAAAAAGGGGUAAAACCUCAAAAGUAAAGGUCAAAAAAAUGAUGCGAAAUUAAAUUGGCAGAAUAUGCGAGGGUUAAAAGCCGUAAAACGUGUAAAAAAGAGUAAGACCAAGAUAAAAGUGUGAAACACAAUUUUCAAAAUUAAAACGAAAAAGACAUUGUAAAAUUUUGGCAAAGUAAAAAAAAAAAAAAUAAUAAUAAUAAAAUAAACAAAUUUUGUAAGGCAAUCAAAUGAAUCCAACCAAUCCCGAAGGACAACACCCAGAAGACCAAGAAGACGACUAAAUAGAUUAUUGUUGCACUCUAGUGGAAGGGUCAGGAAAUUAACCGAAGGAGUAUAGGGGAAUGAAUCGAUAGCAAGACAGAUAUGCAACCAGCAGCAAAUCAGUGCACCUGCAUCGGAGCACGGGACAGCAGUAUGUGCAACACAAACACAGGACGGACAAUGGGAACACGGAUUCGUCAAAAACGACCAAAAAAGUUUUCACGACAACCACGUGUGAAAAACGACGAAUCAACAGUUAUCAACAUCCCAUCGAAGGAAGACGAAGAAGAUAACAGCCAGCCGAUCAACAAGUUGGAGCUCAUGGGAUACACUAUUCAUCCCUACCAAUCAAUUUUGACCAAGGUGAGCACCACUGUGAUUAUUUUGUCCCGUUAGGUGACGAAGCCAAUUGCACAGGAUGGAAGGGCAUACAACAAACGCGAAAUAUGGAAUGAGCACACACACAUGGAUCCGAUUGCACAGGAUGGAAAGGCAUACAACGAAGAAACGCGAAAUAUGGAAUGGGCACACACGUAUGGAAGAAGACCCCAUACUCUGUAAGUUAACUACUGACCCCAACACUAGCAAAUCAGAGCAAUGCAAACGUUAUAUAAUCUCGCCGAAAAGCAACCAUGACAAAGAGGACCCCAGCCAGCAAACCGUAAUUAGCAUUUAAUGCCAGAUUCAUGCCUAAUCAUUUCUCCCAUAAGAAACAUAAGUAGGAUAAAAAUUAGGGAUUACAAACAAAACAAAAUCACCUUCACAAACCAAUGAAUGUUCCAAAACUUCAUUUUCGAACAUUCAUCUCGUAAGUGUGGGGGAGUGCAACGACCCUCGCCCCGAACCACUCCAGUUUUUGCCAUGCGCCGACGCAAGCAUAAAUGACCUAGCACCAAAUUCUGCUCCCCGACUUAUGGUAGAACGACAAAAUAAUUAAGCUCGCGCAACCGAUCAUGAGUCAUACGCCACCCGAAAACCCCUUUAUAGAAUAUCGCCAAAUAAUAGGCAAUUAAAGAAUUGAUUGAGCUUUCGAUUUCAUCGGGGCGAUGUUAUAGCGCAGGGGAAAUUAAGGGAGUGGCCUAAUUAUAUUCAUGGACAUGUCCAUUUAGGUAGAAACACGGCUUCCUCAUUAGGAGAUUCAUUUUUAAAACAAUGUAAAUUAAACCAAUAUCAACAUUCUAAUUUAGUAAAUCAAGUCUUUUGUAAAAGGGCUUAAACCCAUGACUUUCAGUUUAGAAUCGAACUCACGCAACUACGCGGACAGCCAGAAAAAAACCACAGAGGUCAGCAUAAAAAAGUUCAUGAGGUUCAUCGAUGCUCGGCAUCAAAACUGACCAUUUUUAGUAGAACAAAGUUUGGAAAAUUUACUAUAUAAGUAGAAAUAAUUCUCGAGGAAAGUUAGUUAGUUCCAGUAGCAGCUCAAGCCCAGACCAGCCAGGCCCACCAGCACCCACCAGCAGCCACCAGCAGCCAUCAGCAGCCAUCAGCCGAGAAGUCCACCCCGGGACUUAGCCGAGAAGCCAGCCGAGAAGUCCACCCCGGGACUUAGCCGAGAAGACAGCCGAGAAGUCCACCCCGGGACUUAGCCGAGAAGACAGCCGAGAAGUCCACCCCGGGACUUAGCCGAGAAGCCAGCCGAGAAGUCUACCCCGGGACUUAGCCGAGAAGCCAGCCGAGAAGUCCGCCCCGCGACUUAGCUGUUUGCUGUUUGAGAAAUCCACCCGGGACUACGCUGCUGGAGAAGUCGGCCGCGACUUAGCUGUUUGCUGUUUGAGAAAUCCACCCGGGACUUAGCUGCUGGAGAAGUCGGCCGCGACUUAGCUGUUUGCUGUUUGAGAAAUCCACCCGGGACUUAGCUGCUGGAGAAGUCGGCCGCGACUUAGCUGUUUGCUGUUUGAGAAGUCGGCCGCGACUUAGCUGUUUGCUGUUUGAGAAGUCGGCCGCGACUUAGCUGUUUGCUGUUUGAGAAGUCCACCCGGGACUUGGCCGUUGGAGCACAGCAGAGUCAACACAUUACUUGGAGUCUGGAUUCAACACUGGUCUGAGGCGGAGAAGCUGAAGAGAAAAAAAUCAUCGAAGGAAGUGGACAACUUAAUUGUCAAUAAAACGUGUAAAAAAGA